AUUGCUUCUCGGCCUUUUGGCUAAGAUCAAGUGUAGUAAAAUUUAUUUUGGGAUUUUUGUUCUUUUUUUUUUUUUUUUGAGACGGGGUCUUGCUAUGUAGUUCAGACUGGCCUUGAACUCACUAUGUAGUUUAGGCUGGCCUCAAACUCCUGGUGAUCCUCAU
rnacentral:snRNA from 1 species